rnacentral:rRNA from 1 species
UACGAAGGGGGCUAGCGUUGUUCGGAAUUACUGGGCGUAAAGCGCGCGCAGGCGGCCUUUCAAGUCAGGGGUGAAAGCCCGGAGCUCAACUCCGGAAUUGCCUUUGAAACUGUCAGGCUCGAGUACGGGAGAGGUGAGUGGAAUUCCCAGUGUAGAGGUGAAAUUCGUAGAUAUUGGGAAGAACACCGGUGGCGAAGGCGGCCUACUGGGCCAGCACUGACGCUGAGGCGCGAAAGCUCGGGGAGCGAACGGG